rnacentral:rRNA from 1 species
ACCUUUGUUGCUUUGGCGGGCCGUCAGAUCUCGGUCAGGCUACCGGCUCCGGCUGGUAAGCGCCCGCCAGAGGACCCCAAACUUUGAAUAUUAGUGUCGUCUGAGUACUAUAUAAUAGUUAAAACUUUCAACAACGGAUCUCUUGGUUCUGGCAUCGAUGAAGAACGCAGCGAAAUGCGAUAAGUAAUGUGAAUUGCAGAAUUCAGCGAAUCAUCGAAUCUUUGAACGCACAUUGCGCCCCUUGGUAUUCCGAGGGGCAUGCCUGUUCGAGCGUCAUUACAACCCUCAAGCACUGCUUGGUAUUGGGCUCCGCUGCUUAUCCAGCGGGCCUUAAAAUUAGUGGCGGUGUCAUUAGGCCCUGAGCGUAGUAAAUAUCCUCGCUAUAGGGACUUGGUGAUUACUGGCCAGCAACCCCCACUUUCUAAGUUUGACCUCGGAUCAGGUAGGGAUACCCGCUGAACUUAAGCAU